GUGCACCAGUCGCGAAACCUCCGCAAUGCACGCAAGUGCGACGGGGGAACCCCAAGUGCCACUCUUAACGGGGUGGCUUUUCAGAAGUGUAAAAAGCUUCUGGAAUAAGGGCUGGGCAAGACCGGUGCCAGCCGCCGCGGUAACACCGGCAGCUCAAGUGGUAGCCGCUUUUAUUGGGCCUAAAGCGUCCGUAGCCGGUCUGAUAAGUCUCUGGUGAAAUCCCACAGCUUAACUGUGGGAAUUGCUGGAGAUACUAUCAUGACUCGAGGUCGGGAGAGGCUGGAGGUACUCCCAGGGUAGGGGUGAAAUCCUGUAAUCCUGGGAGGACCACCUGUGGCGAAGGCGUCCAGCUGGAACGAACCUGACGGUGAGGGACGAAAGCCAGGGGCGCGAACCGGAUUAGAUACCCGCGUAGUCC
rnacentral:rRNA from 1 species